rnacentral:tRNA from 1 species
GGGCACUUAGCUCAAUUAGGCAGAGCGGCGGACUCUUAAUCCGUAGGUUACAGGUUCGAUUCCUGUAGUGCCCA